rnacentral:rRNA from 1 species
AUACGGAGGGUGCAAGCGUUAUUCGGAAUCACUGGGCGUAAAGGACGCGUAGGCGGGUUGGCAAGUCAGAUGUGAAAUCCUACAGCUUAACUGUAGAACUGCAUUUGAAACUGCUAACCUAGAGUAUGGGAGGGGGAGAUGGAAUUAGUGGUGUAGGGGUAAAAUCCGUUGAUAUCACUAGGAAUACCGAAAGCGAAGGCGAUCUCCUGGAACAUAACUGACGCUAAGGCGUGAAAGCGUGGGGAGCAAACAGGAUUAGAAACCCUAGUAGUCC